AAAAAAAUAAUAAUAAUAAAUAAAUAAAAGGCUUGGGAAGAAGGAGAAGGGGUUAGGCUGGCAAGUGGCCCAAAACAGGUGAGGCUCCUGGCUUUUCCCUACUCCCCUGCCCCACUGGAGAGGUCUGCAGCUCAGGCGUUUCUAGUCCUUUCUUCCUCCACACUCCACCCCUUGGCCCCAGGAAAGCCAAGUUCAAGCAGGUGGCUUGCCUGGAGCCAGGACACCUAGAUUCUCAGUAGCUGUACCCCACAAGUUCCUGUGUGACCCUAGACAAGUUCCUACACAUCUUGGCCUGAUAUAAACCAGAAAAUUAUACUCCCCAUUCAUUUCUGAAGUAGAAGAGGAAGUCUCCCUCUGGUUUGAAACACCCUUCUUCUUGGUCCUCCUUGGUUCCCUGGGGCAGUGUGAGAUGCCUCCUCCUUCUCCCUCUCAGGGGUAGAUGAGCAGAUUGGCCUUUCCUGUGAAGGGUACGGGUGACUCACGUGCCCCAGGCUUCCCCUCGCCCUUAUCACUCACCUGGAUUAAUCUGUGACUCAUAAAGCAAGUACCGGAUGUUGGGGGGGUUACAUGUAAACUUGGGGGAGGGGGGCUGGCUAGCCUAAAUCUGACUUAAUAGGUCAGGGACUGAGCAGCCCUGAGGAUUUCAUUGAUAUAACAUGCCAUAUGGACCCCUUAGGCUUGGGGUUCUUGCUUUCCUCCCCCAAAGUAUGGAGCUGGGCAGAGGAAAAUAGGGUCUUCAGCUAACAGGAUUCGGGGGUAGAGGAGGUUGUCAGAUGCCAUAGCCAGAAAGGAGGGCCCUUGUUGAGUUCACCAAAUGAGGCUUAGGUCAGUCAGAACACGGGAAACUCUGUAUCCUAGCACUUUGGGAGGCCAAGAUGGGAGGAUCACUUGAGCCCAGGAAUUUGAGACCAGCCUGGGCAACAUAGUGAGACCCCCAGUCUCUUUAAAAAAAAAACAAAACAAAAAAAACUGGGAAAAGUGAAACCCCAAGAAGAAAGCUUCAUUUAAAGCCAGGGGAAGAAAUCCAGGGUCCCUGCCUCUGACUUGAGAGCUUUUUCUAACCUGCCCUCUAAAAAACAGGGCAGAGUUCCCCUUUUGCAGCAAACCAGAGCUGGAGGUGAAUACCGACAGACAGACAGACUAGUGCAUACAGAGGCGUGCACGUGCACCACACACAGAACAGACAAAUCAUGCCAUACUUAAGAUCCACUCUGUCUCUGUCCACCUGUGAAGUUAAAGGCAGAGACCCACCAAGGCAGGCACAUCCAUGAGGGUGCUUAACCAUUAUCCUGUGUACACUUGCUCACACAUAAGGCUUCCUGCUAGGCUUUUCCCCUUCCCUUCCCCUGGGGUUCUGGUUCCUGACUGCCCAUCUCCACCCUCCCCUCCCCUGGCCCCUCAGCUAAAGCCUGAGCACCUCCCUACUCUGGAGCUGGGGCCUCUGUGGCUAGACAAGAGUCAUCCUGGGCUGGGGCAAAGGAGCCUAGGGCAGUCAUCUUGAACACUAGUUUGCUCACCUGUUUUCCAGAGAAAACCUGAGGAAAACAGGUUGGAGCUGUAACUGUGAGGGACUGAAAUUAGGGCCAGGCACAGUGGUUCACGCCUGUAAUUCCAACACUUUGGGAAGCUGAGGUGGGUGGAUCACCUGAGGUCAGGAGUUCGGGACCAGCCUGGCCAACAUGGCGAAACCCCGUCUCUACUAAAAAUACAAAAAAUCAGCAGGACGUGGUGGCAGGCGCCUAUAAUCACAGCUACUCGGGAGGCUGAGGCAGGAGAAUCGCUUGAACCUGGGAGGCGGAAGUUGCAGUGAGCCAAGACCAUGCCAUUGCACUCCAGCCUGGGCAAGAGUGAAACUCAGUCUCAAAAAAAAAAAAAGAAAGAAAGAAAGAAAUUGGACCCAGGGCUUCUUGCCCAGCCACCUCCCCAGUGGAACUGGAGCAGGGAGAACAGGAAGGUAUGGUGCAGCGCCUUAGGGUUCUAAAUUCUCAGCCCUCUUUCCUUGCCACACUGGGCAAUGGUCAGCUGACAAAGCCAUUACCAUGCCUAUUCUAUGGGUUGGAAGACUGAACCCAGCAAAGGUAAGUGAUUUGCACAGGGCCACAUGAGGUGGCAGGGCCAGGGCUCAUUUCCCAUUGGGACUGGUAACUGCACCUCUUAGAGCCACCUGCUACAGUCCUGCCUGGGGGCAGAUUCCACCCCCUCCCCCAUGGGGAUAAUCAAGAGCUGGGUUUGUGAAGGGCCUGAAGCUACAGACAACUGACCUGGAGAUGAAACAGGUGAUCUGCCACACUUGCAAAGUUAAAGGCAGAGACCCGCCAAGGCAGGCACAUCCAUGAGGAUGCUUAACCAUUAUCCUGUGUACACUUGCUCACACAUAAGGAUUCCUGCUAGGCUUCCAGCAACCCUGGCCCUCCCAGGAGCCCAUGGAGUGACUGUGGACAAAUAGUCCAAGGGACCAAGGGAGGCAAGAGGAAGAGCCAAGGGUGACCAUGGACCACGGGGCUCCACAAGGGAUGGGAUUACAUUUCACUCCUGGAAAAUAAAGCCUGGCACGUUGAUGCUUGAAGCUCAAGAAUGAAUAGCAGAGGGAGAGAUGUGGACUCCAGCUCACACAGCCAGCCAAUUUAUUCCCUCCCUAUUCUAAUUUCAACCCUGGGCUGAGCUGCUCCAUGGCAGUGACAGUAGAGGCAAGCAGUGAUUCACAAAGACCAACAGUUGAGACAGAACUGGAGGCCAGAGUUCCCACAUGCAGCUUCUCAUCUUGAGGAUGGAGCUUGCUAGCCAGGCAUCAAAGUUCCUCACACAACGGGCCCCUGCGCUGAGCCUGUUCUCUCACUCAGAAAAUGAAGGUAAAUGAAAGUACCUACUCCAUACGGCUCGUUAUGACUGUACGACAAGUUUCCGCACAUAAGAUACGGAUACCACCACCUAACCCCGCCUGGCACCUAUUAAGCCCUCAAUAAACGUCAACUCUAUAAUCUCUUAGGCUUUCUCUUUCACCGUCACCACCCACUUCUUGCAGGCAGAUUUCACAAAUGGAUUCCCUUUACUCUGCAAUCUUCCAGUGGGCUUCUCUGCCCCCCAUCUGCCUGUGCUGGAUGGCCCCUGAGCAAAGCACUGUAAUAGGUGCUAGGAAGGACACGAAGAAGUCUAUGUUCAAACAUGUUCUUGCCCUCAAGGAGUUUACAUACAAGAAACCAGGUUAAAAUUAUGUGAAAGGGGCAGACAGGCCAGGAAUACGGGGGAAAUUAAGCAAUUUAACUUUUUAUUU
rnacentral:lncRNA from 1 species